AACAGAAUUAUACAUCUAUAAAGUUCAUUUUUAUCGGUUAAGUAGAAAAUCUGAUUACAAGGUGGUCUUCAAGUCAAUAUUUUUGCUUGAUGUUCUGUUAAAUGCAGUGACUGUCCAUUUAACGAAGAAUAAGGGGAAGAAUAUACGAAGUCUUCUAGACGUCAGCUAGAGCUCUUCUACUACAAUUUUUAUUGAAAGAAAAAUGAGCAAUGACCUUCAGAAUUCGGAUUAGUGAUAUGUAUUCAACUCCAUUAGCUACA